CCCUUAGAUGUUCUGGGCCGCACGCGCGCUACACUGACGAAUGCAACGAGCUUAUAACCUUGGCCGAAAGGUCUGGGUAAUCUCCAAAUUUCGUCGUGAUGGGGAUAGAUUAUUGCAAUUAUUAAUCUUCAACGAGGAAUGCCUAGUAAGCGCAAGUCAUCAGCUUGCGUUGAUUACGUCCCUGCCCUUUGUACACACCGCCCGUCGCUACUACUGAUUGGACGUUUAAGCAAGAUUUUUAAACACUGACAGUGUGUAGUUCACGCUAUACUACAGUGAGAAGAAGAAGAUCGAGCUUACUUGUCUAGAGGAAGUAAAAGUCGUAACA
rnacentral:rRNA from 1 species